rnacentral:rRNA from 1 species
GAGUUUGAUCCUGGCUCAGGACGAACGCUGGCGGCGUGCCUAAUACAUGCAAGUCGAGCGAGGGUCUUCGGACCCUAGCGGCGGACGGGUGAGUAACACGUAGGCAACCUGCCUGUAAGACUGGGAUAACAUAGGGAAACUUAUGCUAAUACCGGAUAGGGUUUUGCUUCGCCUGAAGCGAAACGGAAAGAUGGCGCAAGCUAUCACUUACAGAUGGGCCUGCGGCGCAUUAGCUAGUUGGUGAGGUAANGGCUCACCAAGGCGACGAUGCGUAGCCGACCUGAGAGGGUGACCGGCCACACUGGGACUGAGACACGGCCCAGACUCCUACGGGAGGCAGCAGUAGGGAAUUUUCCACAAUGGACGAAAGUCUGAUGGAGCAACGCCGCGUGAACGAUGAAGGCUUUCGGGUCGUAAAGUUCUGUUGUUAGGGAAGAAACAGUGCUAUUUAAAUAAGGUAGCACCUUGACGGUACCUAACG